GAGAGCAGCACCGGAAUGAACUGCGGAAACGCAGAGGUCCUUUAAGGUUUUGAAGCGAACAGCUGGAGCCUGCGGAGCUGGGAGCGGCCGCACCGAGGCGGCCGCAGGCAGCCGAGUGAGAAUGAUUCCAUGGAGUCGGACAGCUCAAGCAAUUGAAAGGGGAGAAACAGUUCUCAUCCAUGUAGUCUCUAGCCAGUCCUGCAUCACAUGUCCAAGUAAAGAUGUGAAAGGGAAAGGAAAUGAGGAGAGACAAGGAGGGGUCAGGCAGCCUUUGUCACAUCUUUUGGCAGAUGCUGCUGUGUAUGAACUUGGGCAUCAGCCCAUCCUCAAGAGAUGUUCCAGUGUAAACCAAACCAGAUCUGGGAAGGACUUAGUGUCUAGAAGAUUUCAGCUGGUGACAUUCUUCAUUGUUAGAAGAAAAUCUCACAGAAAAGGAACCGAAGGCUUUCCAGCUCUGCGUAAUGCCACAGUGUCUCUGUGGCUUCUAAUAAUGGAUGUAUUUCGCUGAGAAGCCAAAGAGAAGACCAGGUGAUACACCAGGAACCCAGAAAUUCCUAUCUGAAGCAAACUGUAUCAAAUACAUCUGGGCAAAGCACAAAUUUGGUUGAUAAACUCUGAAAUAAUUACUUUAUGUAAUAGACUUUUUGAAGGCAUUUGUAAGACAUUAAACAGGUACCUGUUAAAUUUUUGAUAAGAGAAAAUUACAGCAUAUGAGUAACUUCCAUGCUGAUUCACAAGCUGCUAGAUAUAUGACAGUAACAGCAACACAUAUUUGAUGGAAAAAACUUACGGUCUUAGGUUAUUCAAUAAGGCUUCUGCUGGAGCAGAAUUAAAGUAGUAUAAUGACAUGUUCACAUUAGAAGAAAAACUAAAGUAAAAAAUAGUCAAGCAAGACAAGUAAUAUCUACAGAAAAUCUGAUGCUGCCCUUCGGACAUUCAAUUAGUAUCUGUGAGCAUUAGUUGUUCAUCAUGACCCUAAAGCCACAAAAGGAAAAUUAGUCUUUGUAAUAUUAGAUCACAAUCUUUUUUCUUACCUGCAUGUAAGAUACACACACAUCUUUAAUCAGUAAAAGAAAUGAAACUGGAAAAAAUUAAAGGAAUAUCAUAGUAAAACCAAUCUUUUAACAGUUACCCUGAUAAGACCUCCGAACACCUGACUACUAUCUGAACAAAGAAACAAGGUGCCUGUGUAAACCUUGCUCUGCACCACACAAUAGAAAGCAGGAGUAACCCUAACAAAGCCUAAAAUACAUGGCAUGAAACUGCUGGCAAUGGGAGUUAAAUCAGGCUGUGCAGCUUCUUUCAAUGCAAUACAUUUGAUCAGUGUGAGGCACUGCAGAGGGCGUGCAGGAAUUUCUUACUUUGCUAGGGAGAGGGAGGUCUGUACCUCCCCAGGCACUGCUGACGCAGAUGUUGGUGAGGUGGAAGAAUCGCUGAGGUACCUGUCUCAUUCUGUCUGUGCUAAUGGAACCACUCAGGUGUUAAUGCAUUAUUACACUGCGUACAUCCACCACUAAAUACAUAGGCAGCUGUUCAAAAAUGUGCAUUACAUCUGUAAUAUUCUGUUAAAAGGGGAGAGAUUCAAUAAGCCCCUGACUGAAGGUCAUAAUUUAAAUAUUUUCAGCCCCAAUGAAUGCAAAUACACAGAUGUAAAGACAGUGCACUUCUUUUUCUUUUC